rnacentral:lncRNA from 12 species
GUUUCAUUGUCCACAUUUCCAUCUUCGCAUCAGCAUUGUGCUGUCUUGAUUACUGCAGCUUUAUCGUAAGUCUUAAAAUCAGUCAAGGCAAGUCUUCCAGCUUGGAAACCACAUAAAGAAAGCAGGACUAAGGGGAUACGAGCAUCGUGCUCUAGAAUAGCCUCUCUCACUAACUAGCUGUGUGAACCCUGAGCUCACAGAGCCUCUCCGUGAUUGAGGUCAAGUUCUAAGAAUUGAAAAGGACUUUGGAGCUACCCUCAGUGUCUUCCCCUGUUACAUAAUGAUGCCAGUGACAAGCAGUGUGCAUGCAGCACCCCCCUGAGUGCCCAAUAUGGUCCCCAGCAUCAGGCACAUGUCCCUCACCUUCAUGUUCUGAGGCACAUCAAAUUGUUUUUCCGGUUUAGCCGUGAAGGUACCGGAGCACAGAGACGAAGUGAGUUGCCCAAGGUCACAUAAUUAGGACACAGUCAAGCCGGGACUUGGACUCUCCCUUGUGCAGUUGCUGUGAACAGCUAAUAAGGAACACAGGCGACGUUAGGGUUUGACAGAAUGUGCUGAUACACAAUGGGUUAUUUACACAACAUGGUAGUUUCUCAAGAUGUAAUUUAGCAAUACAAGAUGUGUUUCUCUGAUAGAGGCAAGAAGAGGAAGGAGCGCCUGUGGAGGAGACCGCACAUAUAUCUGAUACAGCUACACCCAAGGCACUUUCAGCUGGGACCCCGGACCCUCCAAGCUGCUGGUCUCUGCUUAUGAGCCCUGCCUACGUGUGAUGGCCCUCGUCGAUUUUUGUGCCAUGGAGGCCCAGGCUAUGGAAAAAUCUCUUACAGAGCCUGUCCAGGCUCCAAUGCUCCAGGUUUGUGAUUUUAUUACCAUCGUUUUCUGAAGUGAGGAAGAGGGAGGUCCUAUUGAAAUGACCUACUGCCAAAGAAAGGGUUCCGCAGAAGUGCGACACCUAAAAAUAAGUAUUCCAGGAAUUAUCAAUUGUUUUCAUGCUAAAUUUACUUAAUCGCACACACACAUGCACACGGCUUUCAUUCACAUCUAAAAACGCUUUCCAGUCCAUGUAGGUCACAU